CUGAGCACUUCUUCUGGGUGCAGUUCGCAGGCCUGGCCUUCUGCUGGGUUUCCUGUUCCCUGUCUUCAGGGCUGCAUCUCUCCUGCUCGUCCCUCCUCCCGCCCCAGAGCCCUUCUUUCCCACACUUCCAGCUUCAUUUCCUUCUGGUCUCAUCUCAUUGUGUGUCCAACGACGUGAUGAGAAUCUGCCUCACAGGUGGAAGCCUUGAGACACACUCUUUCCUCGUCUACCCCCUGUUUGGUUACUGCAAGUCUUCCUUGGAGUGGGUGGGGCUUGUGCCGUGGGACCCACUGAAGAGACUUCGAGACAUGCUGCUUUCCACUGACUGUAGCUUCAGGCUUCAGAAGGCAUGGGUUGUGCUGUCUUCUAAGCAUUUUCCCCUCUGGCUUGACAAGAAGCCAGGCUCCCAGGGAAGAGACUGCACAGGAGGCCAGAGAGGAGGUGUUCUAAGAUGCCCACCGCGGUGCCUCAGGUCCGUCAGCAGUGCCCAGGCAGAAGGUUUGUGUUGAAAUUUGGAUCAGGCUAAGGAAAUGGGAGGACUGACCUGGCCUGUGCUCCUGAAUCUUUGGUGACAGUUGUCCUUAGAGUCUAACCUGCCAACACUCUGGCACUAGGUGGCAUUUUGAUGUUAGCCUUGUGUCUCUGGCAGAUACUGAUAUUGCAAACAAUUGACUUCGAACUCCUGUUGGUACGGACACCGUUGUGUGGACGCACUCCCGAUAGCUCCUUUGGCCUGCACUUCUGCCCACCAGGUGUGAUUUUUUUUUUCCUCAGUUGACACUGAGAUACUGAGAAGUAACUUGGCUUGAGAUCAUCCAGGAACCUAAGAUAAGGUUCCCAAGUAAGCUUGCAGAGUCCUGCAUCUGUUAUGUGUGACUCUACCUCUGUGCCGUAAGCGGUUUACUAUAAUGUAUAUACACAAUUAUAUCUCUGGUCAUUAAAAAGGUAAAAAUCAUUGUACACUUGCAUCAGCCUCCAAAACGCUGGCAUUACACAGGUGUGAGCAACCAUGCCUGGCCACAGUUUACUCCUGAAAUCAAGCAUUCCAUGGCCAUUCGUUCAGUGUGGCAGACAGAAGCACACUUUGCUAUCUUUGAAGUCUUCGUAGAAUCAUACUGAUACUCACCACUGAAAUAAUUUCCCUAAUACUGGCCAUGGUCUGUCCCCAGAUUUUCAGAAAGAGCACUGAAGUGCACAUUUGAUAGCAGCAGUGGUGACAGCGUCCCAUGAUCCCAAACAUGUACUUAU